rnacentral:miRNA from 1 species
ACAUUCAACCAUUGAAUUUAAAAUUCUUAAUACAUAGAUCAAAUCUGUAAAUUUUUAAAAAUUUUAAAAAUUAUUUAAUACUUCAUUUCAUUAAUUCAAAUCAAUGUAUAAAAUGAUUUUAUGAUUAUCCGUCAAUUUAAAUUAAUGAAAUAAAAUAUCAAAUGAUUUUUAAAUUUUUAAAAAAUUUACAGACUUAAUAUAUACAUUAAGAACUUUAAAUUCAAUUAUUGGAUUGUU